CCUACGGGAGGCAGCAGUGGGGAAUAUUGCACAAUGGGGGAAACCCUGAUGCAGCAACGCCGCGUGAAGGAAGAAGGUCUUCGGAUUGUAAACAUCUGUCCUCAGGGAAGAUAAUGACGGUACCUGAGGAGGAAGCUCCGGCUAACUACGUGCCAGCAGCCGCGGUAAUACGUAGGGAGCAAGCGUUGUCCGGAUUUACUGGGUGUAAAGGGUGCGUAGGCGGCUAGGCAAGUCAGACGUGAAAACCAUGGGCUCAACCUGUGGACUGCGUUUGAAACUGUUUAGCUUGAGUGAAGUAGAGGUAGGCGGAAUUCCCGGUGUAGCGGUGAAAUGCGUAGAGAUCGGGAGGAACACCAGUGGCGAAGGCGGCCUACUGGGCUUUAACUGACGCUGAGGCACGAAAGCAUGGGUAGCAAACAGGAUUAGAUACCCUGGUAGUCCAUGCCGUAAACGAUGAUUACUAGGUGUGGGGGGUCUGACCCCCUCCGUGCCGGAGUUAACACAAUAAGUAAUCCACCUGGGGAGUACGGCCGCAAGGUUGAAACUCAAAGGAAUUGACGGGGGCCCGCACAAGCAGUGGAGUAUGUGGUUUAAUUCGAAGCAACGCGAAGAACCUUACCAGGUCUUGACAUCCGUCUAACGAAGCAGAGAUGCAUUAGGUGCCCUUCGGGGAAAGGCGAGACAGGUGGUGCAUGGUUGUCGUCAGCUCGUGUCGUGAGAUGUUGGGUUAA
rnacentral:rRNA from 1 species